rnacentral:rRNA from 1 species
UACGGGGGGGGCAAGCGUUGUUCGGGAUUACUGGGCGUAAAGGGCUCGUAGGUGGCCAACUAAGUCAUACGUGAAAUCCCUCGGCUUAACCGGGGAACUGCGUCUGAUACUGGAUGGCUUGAGGUUGGGAGAGGGAUGCGGAAUUCCAGGUGUAGCGGUGAAAUGCGUAGAUAUCUGGAGGAACACCGGUGGCGAAGGCGGCAUCCUGGACCAAUUCUGACACUGAGGAGCGAAAGCCAGGGGAGCAAACGGG